UCAUUUGAGUAGCGAGUAUUUAAUUUGCCCAGUCAAGGCACCGUGUUUAUAUACUAUUUCACAUUGAAUUUGAUUAUGCCCUACAGACCUGGCUGGUCAAGGAUUUGAUAUACACAUAUUGGCUUGGGAUUCGAGCUUUCUUUUUUAUUUAAAUAAAAAUUUAUAUAUAUAUUAUAUAUAUACAUAUAUACAUGGCUAUAUCUGUAUAUAUAUCGGGUAUGUUUUAAAGAUUUCUUCGCAUGAGCGCAGCUGUUGCAAUAAGAUGACUGAUUGGGAGGUAGAGGCACCGAUGACGGUGAGGCAUUUCUCAGUUGAUGCAUACAUUUUCCUUUUAAUUUUAAGUACACAUUUGUACAUUUGGUUUUUUGGCCUUUUUUUUUUUAAGAUAAAAUGUCUCUUACAUUUAUACUUUGCUCAUUAUUUAUUGAGAUAAGGAAAGAAAUGUCUGACAGGAUUUUUAUUUUUCUGCAUAUCUAUAAAACACCACAUUAUUGGCCUCUUGCCUUCAAAAGACAGAUUUGGGUAGAUCUUAUCUCCUUUGGACAGUCAGAUAAUUCCUAAGUCUUAGAAGCAGAUGGGUUUUUGUUGUUGUUUUGACAUUGGAAUAACUAGGGGGAAAUCUGCAUAUUGGUUUUCUUGGAGUUAAGAAUAAAAGUAAAUUUCCAUCAUAGUGUGUCUGGAACCCCAAUGUACACUCCGCUGCGGUGCACUAGUAUCCUUUUAGGUGUAUUUUUAUUUAGGGAGACAAUUAGUCUUAAAUGGUAGUAUAAGUUCCCCAAGCCCCUGUCUCUAUAGCCAAUCUGGGUUGGGUAGAAAGUGGAAGACUGUGCCUACAAUUUUACUAUUUGGUCAUUUUCCCUUACCAAUUUUUAGGUGUUUUUUUUGGGGGGGGGGGGAUUGUCAGUAUUGUCUGUGCCCACUGGCAGGUUUAGGGAUUCAAUAAAAACUCACAAGUUUGAGGGUUUUUGUCCCUUUGACAACUCGGUGUUAUGAAGCAACAAUAAACUGAAGUCUGACUUCAUGACUCUUAAUUACUGUUUCUGUUAAAAUCUGAAAAGCAUUGGUUUUUAUUUGUGUCUGUAGAGACAUUUAAAAAAUGAAGCCCGUCAAAUAGGAAGUAAAGCUUGUGCACAGCCACCAGCCCUACCCUUUUUAGGACAGUCUUACCAAAUAGCCCACGCUGGUUCUGAACUCACGAUCCUUCUGCUUCAGCCUUGUGAGCGCUGGGAUUUCAGGCAGAUGACACCAUGCUCACCACCAUCUGCAGUAUGUGUGGCUUUUCGCUGAAAUGGUUUCUUUUGAAGAUGAUUACUUUUUAUUGUAUCCAAGAAUAAGAAUCAUCUCAGAUGAACAAGGACAAUUCUGGAAGGGCUACACAGCAUUUCAUGCAUCUUGUUCAGAAACGAGGCCAGAAUAGUAAGUUAACUGUAGUGAGUUAAGAGGUACUUUGGCUCAUUCUGUUUUCAGUGAGUCUCUAGAAAAUGAUAAAGGAAAGGAGAAUGGGAUAUCUAGACUCAGUCUCCUGCUUAGAGUCAGAGCCUGAAUGUGACCAAAGAACCACUCCUUACUACUUUUCUAGUUAAACAGAACUUGGACCAUAGGUUUCUAGUAGUGAUGUUCAAAUGGCAUCAAUGUUCAAGACACUAUUAUUAGUAAUUACAAAUAUUCAACAACUCAGAAUGUAUGAGAACUUGUUUGGCACGUACGGCAUUAAUGUGGGUCAUUCCUUCUCUCAUCUUCCUCCCCUUGUGUUUUUUCCCAUGUAUUUAUUUUGCCUAACAGCAGAAGAUGGAUACAAUUCUCCCAUGCUACUUGGAUACAUGGUCCCCUUAGACUCUCAUGAGCUUCAGUGUGGGAGCUUGAAAUUUAGUUCCUAAAUUUCUUAUGAUUGUCUUUUUUCUUUUCUUCCUGACCCCUUGCCAUUCUGCAGUUUCCCCUUGACUUACCCAAUCUGUAACAGUGACAGUUUGCUGCUUCUAAACAGAGCAUUCAAAUGAAUUCGCUUAGCCAAUGACUUCUGUGAAGUUGCCUUUUCUAAUGGCGUUAUUACUCAGUGAUGCACAGAUGUGGUAUUUGCCCUACUGGCAGGCAAGCAAAGGUCUGGCAAAGAAUGAUAACCUGCUAUUUCUUUAAGGAGCGCCAAAGACUUGUGCUUUACUCUGUUUUGGUUUUAGGGGAAAUAGUAGCCAUUUUGAUUAUGAAAUCUGGUAGUAUUUGUAAGUUGAUUGUACUGUGUAAAUGUCUAAAGUUAGCUGUUAAGGGUUAGCUGGCCUUAUAAAAUGUAAAAGGAAUGAAAAUUUAUCAGUUUCUCUAAACCAGUAAAUAUCAUCCUUGACAAUAUUUGUUUAAGCAACUCACUCUCCCUUUGGGGAUCUCUUGAUGUGAUACUAUCUUCUGUGUCUUUCUGUCCUUUCACUCGUGCCUACAGGACAAUGGACUUUCACUAUGUCAAGUCCUGGGUCUGGGGAUCCCUCCUGAGCUUGACGCUUGUGAGAAACAAUUAACUAGUUACUUAGUACCCUCUCGGCUUAUGUUCAGGGACAGCUUAGUUUCACUACAUGGGAUUCAUUUGCUAUUACUUUUAUGUACAAAUGGAGGUAGAAUGAAAUUUCACUAUAUUUUUCACUUGGGCUUUUAAAGAAUCAAGUAAAGAGUUCAAUAUGUAAAAUCUUUGUGUAAAAACCAUCUAUGAUGAUUUAUUAAAAGAUAUGCCUAAUUAG
rnacentral:lncRNA from 1 species